rnacentral:tmRNA from 1 species
GGGGACGCGUGGUUUCGACAGAUAAGUAAAAGUUUAGUUUGCGAAUCGAGUGCCAUAUUCUCGUAAAAAGUAUGGAAAAAAUAAACGGCGAAAAAGAAUACGCUUUAGCAGCAGUUUAAACUAGCUUGCUACAUCUUUUUAAGCUUAGCCCGGAAAGCUUAAAUAAGGUGACAUUAUACCGGGAUGCAUUGAAAAAUUUGCUUAAUUUUUCAGUAAAGAUUUAAAGCAAACUGCUCAAUUUAAACUUGUUGCUUAGUUGAUUGGGUUUUUAUAUAAGCGACUAUGUUCGUAGAUAAUUAUUCAGUUAUUUAUUUGGACGGGGAGUUCGACUCUCCCCCGUCUCCACCA